rnacentral:hammerhead_ribozyme from 1 species
GCACUGCUGACGAGUCCCACAUAGGACGAAACAGCUGCCCAGUGC